GAGUUAUUAAGAUCUUAUUUUCACAAAAUAAGUUUUUCAUAUCAAUUAAAAAAUUGGAAGGGGGGGGGGGGUACUCAUAUUGAAUUUUGUAAGUAAGUUUUUUUGAGCUGCUCUAACUAGGUUGCUUGUAAGGUAGAUCUUUAGCCGUUAGUAAUGUUGCCCUGGGCACACUGCAAGGAAGGAAGCAAUCUAUUAUUGUAUCCCAAAGAUAACCAGGCAAACUGAGGCUUCACACCUGAUGUACACAAAUUGCAACUGCAGACAAGUACAAACCAUGCUCCACCUAAUAAAUUGUCCUAUCUGCCCUACUGUACAAUGGAUGGCAUGAUAGCGAACAAGAAUGGAAUAGAAGUAGGCAAGUUGCCUAGUUCGGGCAAGAAAGUAGAUAGUAGAAAGUAGACCUGAU